GAUGAACGCUGGCGGCGUGCUUAAUACAUGCAAGUCGGACGGAGAUUGCAGCGAUGUAAUCUUAGUGGCGAACGGGUGAGUAACGCGUUGGUGACCUGCCCUGAAACGAGGGAUAACGUUCCGAAAGGGACGCUAAUACCGGAUGAUGUGCGACCUGCCAAGUAGGUCACACCAAAUGGUAGCUUCGGCUUCUGCUCUGGGAUGGGCCCGCGCCGGAUUAGCUUGUUGGUGAGGUAAUGGCUCACCAAGGCGACGAUCCGUAGCUGGUCUGAGAGGACGAUCAGCCACACUGGGACUGAGACACGGCCCAGACUCCUACGGGAGGCAGCAGUGGGGAAUCUUGCGCAAUGGGCGAAAGCCUGACGCAGCAACGCCGCGUGAGCGAAGACGGCCUUCGGGUUGUAAAGCUCUGUCAGGAGGGACGAAGCCACUCAGGUGAAUAGCCGAGAGGGUGACGGUACCUCCAGAGGAAGCCCCGGCUAACUACGUGCCAGCCGCCGCCGUAAAAC
rnacentral:rRNA from 1 species